CGCGGGGUAGAGCAGUUGGUCAGCUCGAGUGCUUCAUUAGCACUAGGUCGUGGGUUCGAAUCCCACCCCCGCUGCCA
rnacentral:tRNA from 1 species